UUUUGAAUAUUGAUUUUGCACGAAUCCAAGUAUAUUAUCAACUGAUACUGCUUUCGUUACUGAACAAAGAUGUGGGAAGACCCAGAAAAGAGAAUUUAAAGGAGCAGCUCAAUAGAAGCAGCACUUAGAGCUAACGCUGGAAAAGACAUUGCUCCUCUGGCGAAUGGUGAGCAUGAAGGAAUAACAGAAUUAGAUAUCACU
ensembl:ncRNA F58A3.7 ncRNA